CCCUAUGGGGUGUCCAUUGAUUUUUUGUACAGCAGCUGUUUUGUCGAUAUCGCCAACAGUCAGUUGCCAAUCUUCUUUUUCUGCAUGAGCCAGCAGAUAAUCAAUCAAACUUGAGGUGCUUAAUCCUGAUCCUAAUAACAGAAUGCGUUUCAUGGUAUUUUUCAGAUAAUCGGUUGUUCUGCUAAAGUAAACAAUUACACUGGUUCGAUGGUGAUUUGAUUGAGGCAACUGAAGGAUAAAUUUUAUCUUUGUUAAAAUCGAAAAACAGAGGAUGGCCGCAAACGAACCACUGGUGGAUACCCCACUGAUGAGGCAGUAUAUGUCUCUGAAACAUAAAUAUCCCGAUGCAGUGUUGCUGUUUAGGGUGGGUGAUUUUUACGAGACGUUUUCAGAUGAUGCAAUAAAAGCAUCAAAAAUAUUGGGCAUAACGCUAACCCGUCGGGCGAAUGGUGCGGCCACGUUUGUUGAAUUGGCGGGGGGGC
rnacentral:rRNA from 1 species